ACGACCCGKGAACCGGUGAAGAAUCAUUCGGGAGGCGUGCGCCUUGGGGCCCCUCCUCCCGGAGUGUCCCCUCGGCGAAGGCUGCGAUCGAGAUCCACGUCCUUCGCCGCGGGGGCAAAACUAACAAAUCCCCGGCGCGAGUCGCGCCAAGGAAAAAUGAAGAGGGAUGCGCUCUCCCCCGUGUCGGAAACGGUGCGUCGGGGAGCACGUCGUCGUUAUCACAUUCAAAACGACUCUCGGCAACGGAUAUCUCGGCUCUCGCAUCGAUGAAGAACGUAGCGAAAUGCGAUACUUGGUGUGAAUUGCAGAAUCCCGUGAACCAUCGAGUUUUUGAACGCAAGUUGCGCCCAAAGCCGUCAGGCCGAGGGCACGCCUGCCUGGGUGUCACGAAGAGUCGCCGAACAUCCCUCCUGACGGAGGAGGCACGGCGGACACUGGCCUCCCGCGCGCUGACCGUGCACGGUUGGCCCAAAAAGUUAGGCCUUCCCGCGGGGCGGCCACGACACACGGUGGUUGAAAAGCGCAAGCCCUCCUCGAACACCGUCGUGGGCCCGCCCCGUUUACGGGGAGCGAGCCAGAGACCCCGACGCGGAGCGUCAGAUCACGGAGCGACCCC
rnacentral:rRNA from 1 species